UCCUGAAAAGCAGAGCACGAAAUGCCGUGUAAAGCCCUGCCCGGAGACCCCGAGCCCGUCCUGCAGAAGUUGGUCUGCUUGUGGUAACACCUUUUUGCAUCGUUCUAUCCAAAAGGUUCUGAUGAUAUUUCGAGAUAAAAAGAUGAAAGCCUCGGUCAUGCUUUGCAGCAAAUUUCAUGUAACACUCGAGGGGAACUGAAGCAGAAACCAAAGCCAAGGCAAAGCAGCAUCUGACCUUGUCACUGGGGGGCAGAAAACAGCCGCUGGUUCCACUGGUGCUUCGAUCAAGCUCCCUGGGCAAUGUGGAAUUGCAGAGAGCUCACAAAGUGCAAGUUCCCUCCAGGUCCGUGGCGUGAAUAAAAAUUGUUAAUUCUUGG